CUACGAAGGGGGCUAGCGUUGUUCGGAAUUACUGGGCGUAAAGCGCGCGUAGGCGGAUUGGUCAGUUAGGGGUGAAAUCCCAGGGCUUAACCCUGGAACUGCCUCUAAUACUGCCAGUCUUGAGUUCGGGAGAGGUGAGUGGAAUUCCUAGUGUAGAGGUGAAAUUCGUAGAUAUUAGGAAGAACACCAGUGGCGAAGGCGGCUCACUGGCCCGAUACUGACGCUGAGGCGCGAAAGCGUGGGGAGCAAACAGGAUUAGAAACCCUUGUAGUCC
rnacentral:rRNA from 1 species